rnacentral:rRNA from 1 species
UACGUAGGGGGCAAGCGUUGUCCGGAUUUAUUGGGCGUAAAGAGCGUGUAGGCGGCUGGGUAGGUCCGUUGUGAAAACUCGAGGCUCAACCUCGAGACGCCGAUGGAAACCCCCCAGCUAGAGUCCGGAAGAGGAGAGUGGAAUUCCUGGUGUAGCGGUGAAAUGCGCAGAUAUCAGGAAGAACACCCGUGGCUAAGGCGGCUCUCUAAUACGGUACUGACGCUGAGACGCGAAAGCGUGGGGAGCGAACAGG